rnacentral:tRNA from 1 species
UGCGGGGUGGAGCAGUAGUAGCUCGGCGCCCUCAUAAGGCGAAGGUCGUGGGUGCAAAUCCCACUCCCGCAA